UCGACUAGCUCUGUUCUUUCCUUAAUGUUCUCAAAAGGAUGUUCUGUGUGUUGUUUGGUUGAAUCGUUACAUCAACAGCACGACGCCCAUCUCUUCCUUGGAUCAGCACAAUGCUAAUACAACCAAAUUCGUCCGAAUUGCGAAGCUUUCAUGAGAAUCUCAUUACACGGGUAAGGACAUUUCUGCAGCAGAAUAUAGGGUCAGAAGCUUACGAUGCUAAGGAGAAGCCACUGGAACACGAGCGGGACAGAGCAGCGAAGAAUAAGCUGAAUCAAGAGCUCGAUACGAAGAAGAUGAGAUCGAAAUUCAGACACAACAGAAGCAGACAAUCAAUCCGAGCAGGCGGAAGUGCCACCGAGGUUUAGUAGUAGGAAAGGAGGGAGGAAAGGAAGCUGGAGGAAAGCAUGAAACUGAAAGACGGCCAAAAAUCUUCCAGGAAGAAAGUUUUUUUUGUUGUUUUGCAUUCUUUGCUGUUUUGCGUUCUUCUUGUCGGGUUUUAGGAUUGUCUGUAACAGGGAAAGGGAUGAGGGCUUCACAGGUUAUGGACGACCUCACUGUGCCAGUUAACGGCCGUGAGAGGCAAACUCCGUCAGGGACCAGCAUUUAUUCGAACGGAAAGACCAAUUGGUUCAAAUAUUUGAAACGUUCGGACUAAUUAGUACACAUAAUAUAUUUCAAGGACCAAUUUGCCUUGCAGUGUAUAUUUAAGGGAUAA